rnacentral:rRNA from 1 species
AACGUACGCUGGCGGCACGCCUAACACAUGCAAGUCGAACGAAGUAGCAAUACUUAGUGGCAGACGGGUGAGUAACAUGUAGGUAUCUGCCCUUUGGCCUGGAAUAACACGGGGAAACUUGUGCUAAUACCGGAUAAGUCUUUACGGAGAAAGCUUUAUGCACCAUUGGAUGAGCCUGCACUUGAUUAGUUUGUUGGUGGGGUAAUGGCCUACCAAGACUGUGAUCAAUAGCUGAUUUGAGAGGAUGAUCAGCCACAUUGGGACUGAGACACGGCCCAAACUCCUACGGGAGGCAGCAGUGGGGAAUCUUGCACAAUGGAGGAAACUCUGAUGCAGCGAUGCCGCGUGAGUGAAGAAGGCCCUUGGGUUGUAAAGCUCUUUCGUCGGGGAAGAAAAUGACUGUACCCGAAUAAGAAGGUCCGGCUAACUUCGUGCCAGCAGCCGCGGUAAUACGAAGGGACCUAGCGUAGUUCGGAAUUACUGGGCUUAAAGAGUUCGUAGGUGGUUGAAAAAGUUAGUGGUGAAAUCCCAGAGCUUAACUCUGGAACUGCCAUUAAAACUUUUCAGCUAGAGUAUGAUAGAGGAAAGCAGAAUUUCUAGUGUAGAGGUGAAAUUCGUAGAUAUUAGAAAGAAUACCAAUUGCGAAGGCAGCUUUCUGGAUCAUUACUGACACUGAGGAACGAAAGCAUGGGUAGCGAAGAGGAUUAGAUACCCUCGUAGUCCAUGCCGUAAACGAUGUGUGUUAGACGUUGGAAAUUUAUUUUCAGUGUCGCAGGGAAACCGAUAAACACACCGCCUGGGGAGUACGACCGCAAGGUUAAAACUCAAAUGAAUUGACGGGGACCCGCACAAGUAGUGGAGCAUGUGGUUUAAUUCGAAGAUACGCGCAGAACCUUACCAACACUUGACAUGUUCGUCGCGACUCUAAGAGAUUAGAGUUUUCGGUUCGGCCGGACGAAACACAGGUGCUGCAUGGCUGUCGUCAGCUCGUGUCGUGAGAUGUUGGGUUAAGUCCCGCAACGAGCGCAACCCUCACUUUUAGUUGCCAUCAUUAAGUUGGGCACUCUGAAAGAACUGCCAGUGAUAAGCUGGAGGAAGGUGGGGAUGACGUCAAGUCCUCAUGGCCCUUACGUGUUGGGCUACACACGUGCUACAAUGGUAUCUACAACAGGAAGCAAGACUGCGAAGUUAAGCAAAUCCCUAAAAGAUACCUCAGUUCGGAUUGCACUCUGCAACUCGAGUGCAUGAAGCUGGAAUUACUAGUAAUCGUGGAUCAGCGUGCCACGGUGAAUGCGUUCCCGGGUCU